CUCGGGCGCCGCCGCCCACCGCACGGGCCGUUACCGACCCCGCGCCGCCCGCGGCCCGCGCGCCCCUUCCCGGACAGUUCCUCUCGGCGCCCCCGAGUCCUCCCCGCGCGCCGCUUCCCGGGUGGGCCCUUCCACCAGAACCCCCUGGUAGAUCCUCCCCUGGUGCCCUGGGGGUAGAGGGGAGAUCCUCCACAAGGGCCAUUUCCCUGGUGAUCCCUCCCUGUGCCCCACAGGUCUAAGGAGAGGAGAGUCCAGUGAGUGACCCAGACGCCCCAGCCAGGAAGAGCAUGAGGUGCGAAGGGGGCUUCCCAGAUGGAGAGAAACAGAUGGUCCCAGAGUGGCUUGGAGACAGGUGCAACAUCAGUGUUGGGGGAGGACAUGGAGCGGAGCGUUCAGGGCUAUCAGGAGGGAGCCCCGUGGCCACGGUGCAAGAUCUAGGCAGGCGGGACAGACAUGGUCAGGAUGCUGGGGACACAGCAUGGGGAAUCCAGCACACAGGACACCAUCCAGGAAAGCAAAGCUGCAGCCUGAGAUCUCCUUCCACCAACUCCUGGCAUGGCCAGAAAGUUAGCCAGAAACACCAGAAAGUGCCAGGCAGCUAGGAAGCAUGGGGAGAGCCCCCUGAAGCUGCGUGUGUAGUGCCUGCUUCCGCUGCCAUCCCAGAAAUGGACGAGCUUCACCCUGAGAACCCAGCCACACCACUGGGACACAUCCUGACAGUGACAUGCACACUCUUCCCUGGCCCCAGCCUGGAGAGGAGCCUCCUGAAGACACCAGCCUUUGCUCCUUCUCCCAGUGGGAGUGGAGAGAACUGACUGCUGGAGUGGAGACAGUCAAGGCUGUCCUUCUGAGGGAGCACAGCACAGGGUCUGGUGUCCCAGGGAGGCAAUCUGAAAUUCAAGCCAGGCCUCCCCAGCGGAGAGGACACACCCCUCACCAUGCAGAGUGACGUUUAGUAAACUCUCAAAAGAGAGCACAGAGCCCCACUCCUCCAGCCGACCCAUACUCUGCCUCCCCACUCCAGACCAGUGAACAAGGUGGAUUGCCCUUAAGCCAGCUCAGAGGCAAAGUCCAAAGACCUCAGGUGAGUCAAACAAUAAAAACAAAGAAUUAAGAAGAAUCCAGCUGGGUGCGGUGGCUCACGCCUGUAAUCCCAGCACUUUGGGAGGCUGAGGCGGGAGGAUCACGAGCAGGAGGUCGAGACCAUCCUGGCUAACACGGUGAAACCCCGUCUCUACUAAAAAUAGAAAAAAUUAGCUGGGCGUGGUGGCGGGCGCCUGUAGUCCCAGCUACUCCGGAGGCUGAGGCAGAAGAAUGGCGUGAACCCAGGAAGCGGAGCUUGCAGUGAGCCGAGAUCAUGCCACUGCACUCCAGCCUGGGCGACAGAGCGAGACUCCGUCUCCAAAAAAAAAAAAAAAAAAAAAAUCCAUCCACUCCAUCCACUUAGUAGCAGAGCGAAUAGACAUUCAGGAAAGAGCUUUCACGUCAGAAAGCACUACAGAAGUAGUGGCAUAUCCCCGGAGGCUGAGGUGGGAGCAUUGCUGAGAGGUGGCACGUGACCACAUCCAUGUCAUUCAACAACAGAAAAACAAGUCAUCGAGGGUGUGAGGGGCCGGUGAGAAACCCAGUAUGGAAGAAAACACAACUGGGCUGAGCGUGGUGGCUCACGCCUGUAAUCCCAGCACUUUGGGAGGCCAAGGCAGGAGGAUCACCUGAGGUCAGGAGUUCGAGACCAGCCUGGUCAACAUAGUGAAACCUCAUCUCUACUAAAAAUACAAAAAAAUUAACUGGGUGUGGUAGCGCGUGCCUGUAGUCCCAGCUACUCCGGAGGCUGAGGCAGGAGAAUUGCAUGAACCCAGGAGCCGAGACCACACCACUGCACUCCAGCCUGGGGGCGGCACAGUGAGACUCCGUCUCAAAGAAACAAAAAUAAAAAAUAAAUAAAUAAAUAAAUAAAUAAAUAAGAAAACGCAACCAAAGAAACAGAAGAGGACUCCACAGGACUUCUUUCAGAGCUUCAUAGCAGCAUGAAUUCAACAAUCAGGAAUUCAAAUGCUUGACGACAAAACAGCAGGAUGGGAGGAAGAGUUAAGAGCCAAGCAAACCGGAAGCACCAAAAUCGCACCGUGGCUGGAUCAAGUCAUAAACAGCAAAGGGCAGAAUAUCAAGUUACUUGGAGAUGAAAGGCUUGAGAUAAUUUCAGAGCAAGACAAAGUGAUUAACACAAUAAUUUACUCAUUGAUUAUUUGUUAAACAUCUACUUCAAGCUACAGGCCACUCUAGGCCUUGGAGGGUAAGGAAACAGCACCUUUGCCCUCAGAGGGUUUGCAAUCUAGCAGGGAGGGGAACAUAAUAAAGUGUAUAAAACCAGGGCUCUGGCUCUGAAGUUCCAGCACUUUGGGCAGGUCACUUGAACCCAGGAGUUUGAGACCAGCCUGGGCAACAUAGUGAAAACCCAUCUCUACUGAAAAAUAUAAAAAUUAGCGGGGCGUGGUGGUGCAUGCCUGUAGUCCCUGCUACUUGAGAGGCUGAGGCAGGAGGAUAGCUUAGGCCUGAGAGGCAUAGUUCGCAGUGAGCCGAGAUAGCACCUCUGCACUGCGGCGUGGGUGGCAGAGCAAGACCCUGUCUAACAACAACAACAAAAACUGAUCUUAAGUCCAGCCAGUAAAGAUGUAAAUCAAAACAAAGACUUUCAGUGGGUCAAAUACUGGCGGUGAGCCUUGAUCUUCUGGUAAGAAAUGCCCUGCCAGGGGAUAUGGAAAUGUCAGUGCCAGUUCCUCACCAUUCACAGGCAGAAGUCAGCCGGUGCCGCCUCAGCCGAACCGUGCUUUGCUGCUGUAAACCAAACACACUCAUCUCUUGAUGUUUUUGUAAUUUCUAAAAAUAAUCGUAGAAGACUUUUUUUUUUUUUUUUUUGGAGACAGGGUCUCACUCUGUCACCCAGGCUCAAGUGCAGUGGGCCUAUCUCGGCUCACUGCAGCCUCGACUUCCUGAGCUCAAGCGAUCCUCCCACCUCAGCCUCCCAAGUAGCUGGGACUACAGGAGAGCACCACCACGCCCGGCUGAUUUUUGUAUCUUCAGUAUGGAUGGAGCUUCCCUUUGUUGCCCAGGCUGUUCUCCAACUCCUGAGCUCAAGCGAUCUGCCUGCCUUGGCUUCCCAAAGUGCCGGGAUUACAGGCCUGAGCCACGGCGCCCGGCCAUCGUAAGGAGACUUUUAAACUUGAGGUGAAGAAGCAUUCAUCUGCUUUUAGCAAUUUUUUUCUUUAAAUAUUUAAAAGUCUAUAAGUAGCAACUCGACACGUAUUUCUGUAUUUCCAUUACAUCCUUUUAUCUCCCCAUAUACAUUUAGAAAUAUCUGGGAUAACCUUUAGGUAAUGUUAACAGCUGUUAUUCCAGGGAGGACACUGGGCGCGUUUUUAAAGCUGUAUUCGUUGCUGUAUUAAUAGCAAGCGGUGUUUCUGCAAAGCCAAGGAAGGCGUUUCUCCAGCGGGGCCGCGUCGGGCAUUGUCUGGUGCGCCGGGGAAGGCCGCGAACUACAUCUCCCAGGCGCCCCGCGCCCCGUUCCGCGCCCCGCGCCCCCGCCCGCGCGGCUCCUGCUGUGGUGCCGGAGCGUCCUCGGCUCGGUCCGGAGCCAGCCGGAGUCACAAUUCGAAUCGGGCGUGGGAAGCCCGGGGGACCACGCGGCCAACCCUGGGCGGACCUGCGCGCCGGAGACCGCGUCCCCGGGAGCCCCCAAACGCUACCCCGCGCGGCCGCCCGUGGCGCUGCGGAGGCCUGCGGGUGGGGAGGCGCAGUGGCGGCCGGGGCGACGGCCUAAGCACCACACUACUGCUGCGAGACUUCGGGGGAUCCCCACUCCCCUCCCAGGAUCCUUCCCACUCCCCUCCCAGGAUCCUUCCCACUCCCCUCCCAGGAUCCUUCCCACUCCCCUCCCAGGAUCCUUCCCACUCCCCUCCCAGGAUCCUUCCCACUCCCGAGACUGCUUCUUCUGUCCCCUUGAUUCCACGCGCCUCAGAGACCCUCCCUCUGCCGUCCCGCGAAGAGCGCGCCCCUCCCCUUGCAAGGCACCAGUGGAACACUCAUGUAACCCCAGCUACUCAGGAGGCCGAGGCAAGAGGAUUGCUUGGGUCAAGGAGUUCAAGACCAGCCUGAGCAACAUACCAAGACUGUUUCUCUAUAAAAACUUACAAAAAAAAAAAUAAAGGCCGGGUGUGGUGGGAUGCACCUGCAGUCCCAGCUACCCAGGAGGCCAAAGUCGGGGGAUCACUUGAGUCCAAUAGUUCAAGACCAGCCUGGGCAACAUAGCAAGCCUGCCCCCCGCUCCGCCCCAACCACCAAAAAAAGAAAAAAGAAAAAGAAACCAAACCUACUGAAUUUGUGGCAAUUUUUAUGGCAGCUACAGAAAACUAGUACACAAAUCCCAGUUGUGACAACCUAAGCGGUCUCCAG
rnacentral:lncRNA from 1 species